GAGUUUGAUCAUGGCUCAGGGUGGUAGGAACAUUGAGGCUGGGGCCGCCUGAGGCUUUGGCAUGAGGCUGGGGGGCUGAGGAGAGAUGUGAAACAGUUACACCGGGGUGAAGGUGUCAGAGAGGCCUCUCAGUUUCAGCUUGAGUCGGCAGGCAGGCCAUGGUGGUGGCUGGUGGGGAAGUCACCACUGCCCCAGGCCAGAGAGGAUUGCCUCUGAGCCAGGGAUGUCCAGGGCUGCCUCUGAGAGAGGUACGGGUGGGAGUGGACACGGGCAGGUCAACCACUGUCCCUGCCCCAUGACCCCGACACAGGUCAGAUGACCCAGAUGGUGGGGGGCCGAGGGCGAGGAGCAGUUGGAGGGGCCGAGGCUAUCAGCUG
rnacentral:rRNA from 1 species